rnacentral:rRNA from 1 species
GACGAACGCUGGCGGCGUGCUUAACACAUGCAAGUCGAACGGAAAGGCCCCUUUGGGGGUACUCGAGUGGCGAACGGGUGAGUAACACGUGAGUAACCUGCCCUUGACUUCGGGAUAACUUCAGGAAACUGGGGCUAAUACCGGAUAGGAAUCCUUGCUGCAUGGUGGGGGUUGGAAAGCUUCGGCGGUUUUGGAUGGACUCGCGGCUUAUCAGCUUGUUGGUGGGGUAGUGGCUUACCAAGGCUUUGACGGGUAGCCGGCCUGAGAGGGCGACCGGCCACAUUGGGUCUGAGAUACGGCCCAGACUCCUACGGGAGGCAGCAGUGGGGAAUAUUGCACAAUGGGCGGAAGCCUGAUGCAGCAACGCCGCGUGCGGGAUGACGGCCUUCGGGUUGUAAGCCGCUUUCAGCAGGGGCGAAGCUUGUGGUGACGGUACCUGCAGAAGAAGCACCGGCUAACUACGUG